UACGUAGGUGGCAAGCGUUGUCCGGAUUUACUGGGUGUAAAGGGCGUGUAGCCGGGCUUACAAGUCAGAUGUGAAAUCCGGGGGCUCUACCCCCGAACUGCAUUUGAAACUGUAGGUCUUGAGUAUCGGAGAGGCAGGCGGAAUUCCUAGUGUAGCGGUGAAAUGCGUAGAUAUUAGGAGGAACACCAGUGGCGAAGGCGGCCUGCUGGACGACAACUGACGGUGAGGCGCGAAAGCGUGGGGAGCAAACAGG
rnacentral:rRNA from 1 species